CAAGACAAGCAUGCCCUAUUGAAAGCAUCAUACAACAAGACACCAAUGGACUUUGAGACUCACAAGAUCUCGUUUUUCCAAGAUCUCCAUCGUUCCACACUGACAUGGCGGAAAACGAUGCAACCCAUCACGCGAAAACUACAAGAAGCUGGCAUAUCAUACAGAUGGUCCACACCCAGAGCCCUUACGGUACAUCUCAACGGCACACAGUUGAAGGCAACCGACGUGGCGGAAGCCACCACCUUCCUAG